UACGUAGGGUGCGAGCGUUAAUCGGAAUUACUGGGCGUAAAGCGUGCGCAGGCGGUUUUGUAAGCCAGAUGUGAAAUCCCCGGGCUCAACCUGGGAAUGGCAUUUGGGACUGCAAGGCUGGAGUGCGGCAGAGGAGACUGGAAUUCCUGGUGUAGCAGUGAAAUUCGUAGAUAUCGGGAGGAACACCAGUGGCGAAGGCGGCGACCUGGGCCAAUAUUGACGCUGAGGUGCGAAAGCGUGGGGAGCAAACAGG
rnacentral:rRNA from 1 species